UACGAAGGGGGCUAGCGUUGCUCGGAAUUACUGGGCGUAAAGGGCUCGUAGGCGGCCAACUAAGUCAUACGUGAAAUCCCUCAGCUUAACUGGGGAACUGCGUGUGAUACUGGAUGGCUUGGAUUGGGAGAGGGAUGCGGAAUUCCUGGUGAGCGGUGAAAUGCGCAGAUAUCAGGAGGAACACCAAUGGCGAAGGCAGCUCGCUGGGACGGUACUGACGCUGAGGCGCGAAAGCGUGGGGAGCAAACAGG
rnacentral:rRNA from 1 species